GUGCUCACUUCAGCAGUACAUCAUACUAAAAUGGUAACAAUACAGAGAAAAUUAGCACGGCCCCUGCACAAGGGUAACACACGAAUUUGUGUAGCAUGACGUACUUUU
ensembl:snRNA U6 U6 spliceosomal RNA